rnacentral:rRNA from 1 species
UACAGAGGUGCCAAGCGUUAGGCGGAAUCACUGGGCUUAAAGCGCGUGUAGGUGGGUCGUUAAGUGUCCGCGUGAAAUCCCACGGCUCAACCGUGGAACUGCCGGGCAUACUGGCGAUCUUGAGGCAUUCAGGGGCGAGCGGAACAAACGGUGGAGCGGUGAAAUGCGUAGAUAUCGGGAGGAACACCGGUGGCGAAGGCGGGUCUCUGGGCAAUUCCUGACGCUGAGGCGCGAAAGCGUGGGGAGCAAACGGG